UGACUGCGUACCUUUUGUAUAAUGGGUCAGCGACUUAUAUUCUGUAGCAAGGUUAACCGAAUAGGGGAGCCGGAGGGAAACCGAGUCUUAAUUGGGCGUUAAGUUGCAGGGUAUAGACCCGAAACCCGGUGAUCUAGCCAUGGGCAGGUUGAAGGUUGGGUAACACUAACUGGAGGACCGAACCGACUAAUGUUGAAAAAUUAGCGGAUGACCUGUGGCUGGGGGUGAAAGGCCAAUCAAACCGGGAGAUAGCUGGUUCUCCCCGAAAGCUAUUUAGGUAGCGCCUCGUGAAUUCAUCUCCGGGGGUAGAGCACUGUUUCGGCUAGGGGGCCAUCCCGGCUUACCAACCCGAUGCAAACUGCGAAUACCGGAGAAUGUUAUCACGGGAGACACACGGCGGGUGCUAACGUCCGUCGUGAAGAGGGAAACAACCCAGACCGCCAGCUAAGGUCCCAAAGUCAUGGUUAAGUGGGAAACGAUGUGGGAAGGCCCAGACAGCCAGGAUGUUGGCUUAGAAGCAGCCAUCAUUUAAAGAAAGCGUAAUAGCUCACUGGUCGAGUCGGCCUGCGCGGAAGAUGUAACGGGGCUAAACCAUGCACCGAAGCUGCGGCAGCGACACUCAGGUGUUGUUGGGUAGGGGAGCGUUCUGUAAGCCUGCGAAGGUGGCCUGUGAGGGUUGCUGGAGGUAUCAGAAGUGCGAAUGCUGACAUAAGUAACGAUAAAGCGGGUGAAAAGCCCGCUCGCCGGAAGACCAAGGGUUCCUGUCCAACGUUAAUCGGGGCAGGGUGAGUCGACCCCUAAGGCGAGGCCGAAAGGCGUAGUCGAUGGGAAACGGGUUAAUAUUCCCGUACUUGGUGUUACUGCGAAGGGGGGACGGAGAAGGCUAUGUUGGCCGGGCGACGGUUGUCCCGGUUUAAGCGUGUAGGUGUGUGUUCCAGGUAAAUCCGGUUCACUUUAACACUGAGGCGUGACGACGAGGCACUACGGUGCUGAAGCAACAAAUGCCCUGCUUCCAGGAAAAGCCUCUAAGCAUCAGGUAACAUCAAAUCGUACCCCAAACCGACACAGGUGGUCAGGUAGAGAAUACCAAGGCGCUUGAGAGAACUCGGGUGAAGGAACUAGGCAAAAUGGUGCCGUAACUUCGGGAGAAGGCACGCUGACACGUAGGUGAAGUGAUUUACUCAUGGAGCUGAAGUCAGUCGAAGAUACCAGCUGGCUGCAACUGUUUAUUAAAAACACAGCACUGUGCAAACACGAAAGUGGACGUAUACGGUGUGACGCCUGCCCGGUGCCGGAAGGUUAAUUGAUGGGGUCAGCGCAAGCGAAGCUCCUGAUCGAAGCCCCGGUAAACGGCGGCCGUAACUAUAACGGUCCUAAGGUAGCGAAAUUCCUUGUCGGGUAAGUUCCGACCUGCACGAAUGGCGUAAUGAUGGCCAGGCUGUCUCCACCCGAGACUCAGUGAAAUUGAACUCGCUGUGAAGAUGCAGUGUACCCGCGGCAAGACGGAAAGACCCCGUGAACCUUUACUAUAGCUUGACACUGAACAUUGAGCCUUGAUGUGUAGGAUAGGUGGGAGGCUUUGAAGUGUGGACGCCAGUCUGCAUGGAGCCGACCUUGAAAUACCACCCUUUAAUGUUUGAUGUUCUAACGUGGACCCGUGAUCCGGGUUGCGGACAGUGUCUGGUGGGUAGUUUGACUGGGGCGGUCUCCUCCUAAAGAGUAACGGAGGAGCACGAAGGUUGGCUAAUCCUGGUCGGACAUCAGGAGGUUAGUGCAAUGGCAUAAGCCAGCUUGACUGCGAGCGUGACGGCGCGAGCAGGUGCGAAAGCAGGUCAUAGUGAUCCGGUGGUUCUGAAUGGAAGGGCCAUCGCUCAACGGAUAAAAGGUACUCCGGGGAUAACAGGCUGAUACCGCCCAAGAGUUCAUAUCGACGGCGGUGUUUGGCACCUCGAUGUCGGCUCAUCACAUCCUGGGGCUGAAGUAGGUCCCAAGGGUAUGGCUGUUCGCCAUUUAAAGUGGUACGCGAGCUGGGUUUAGAACGUCGUGAGACAGUUCGGUCCCUAUCUGCCGUGGGCGCUGGAGAACUGAGGGGGGCUGCUCCUAGUACGAGAGGACCGGAGUGGACGCAUCACUGGUGUUCGGGUUGUCAUGCCAAUGGCACUGCCCGGUAGCUAAAUGCGGAAGAGAUAAGUGCUGAAAGCAUCUAAGCACGAAACUUGCCCCGAGAUGAGUUCU
rnacentral:rRNA from 1 species